rnacentral:rRNA from 1 species
CGAUACGGGACUCAUCCGAGGCCCCGUAAUCGGAAUGAGAACAUCCUAAAUCCUUUAACGAGGAUCUAUUGGAGGGCAAGUCUGGUGCCAGCAGCCGCGGUAAUUCCAGCUCCAAUAGCGUAUAUUAAAGUUGUUGCGGUUAAAAAGCUCGUAGUUGGUUCUGCGUGCCACGCUGUCGGUUCACCGCCUGUCGGUGCAACUGGCAUGCCGUGGCAUGUCCUGUCGGUGGCGGAUAGGCUUCGCGGCGAUCAUUGCGUAACUACGUUACGUAACGGCGUCGCGUUGUCCUUGUACGCCGGCUCAAUCCUACCGCGGUGCUCUUUACCGAGUGUCGAGGUAGGCCGACACAUUUUACUUUGAACAAAUUAGAGUGCUUAAAGCAGGCUCUUAAAUCAGCCUGAAUAGUGGUGCAUGGAAUAAUGGAACAGGACCUUGGUUCUAUUUUGUUGGUUUUAGGAAUCCAAGGUAAUGAUCAAUAAGGACAGGCGGGGGCAUUCGUAUUGCGACGUUAGAGGUGAAAUUCUUGGAUCGUCGCAAGACGCACUAGAGCGAAA